GAUGAACGCUAGCGGCAGGCCUAACACAUGCAAGUCGAGGGGUAGAAGGAGCUUGCUCCUUUGAGACCGGCGCACGGGUGCGUAACGCGUAUGCAAUCUACCUUGUACAGGGGAAUAGCCCAGAGAAAUUUGGAUUAAUGCCCCAUAGUAUAUAACCUUCGCAUGUUGGUUAUAUUAAAGUUCCAACGGUACAAGAUGAGCAUGCGUCCCAUUAGUUAGUUGGUAAGGUAACGGCUUACCAAGACGAUGAUGGGUAGGGGUCCUGAGAGGGAGAUCCCCCACACUGGUACUGAGACACGGACCAGACUCCUACGGGAGGCAGCAGUGAGGAAUAGUGGUCAAUGGUCGCAAGACUGAACCAGCCAUGCCGCGUGCAGGAAGACGGUCCUAUGGAGUGGAAACUGCUUUUAUACAGGAAGAAACCCUCCCACGUGUGGGAGCUUGACGGUACUGUAGGAAUAAGGAUCGGCUAACUCCGU
rnacentral:rRNA from 1 species